AUUGAACGCUGGCGGCAUGCUUUACACAUGCAAGUCGAACGGUAACAGGUUAAGCUGACGAGUGGCGAACGGGUGAGUAAUGCAUCGGAACGUGCCCAAUCGUGGGGGAUAACGCAGCGAAAGCUGCGCUAAUACCGCAUACGAUCUGAGGAUGAAAGCGGGGGACCGUAAGGCCUCGCGCAAUCGGAGCGGCCGAUGUCAGAUUAGGUAGUUGGUGGGGUAAAGGCCCACCAAGCCGACGAUCUGUAGCUGGUCUGAGAGGACGACCAGCCACACUGGGACUGAGACACGGCCCAGACUCCUACGGGAGGCAGCAGUGGGGAAUUUUGGACAAUGGGCGAAAGCCUGAUCCAGCAAUGCCGCGUGCAGGGAGAAGGCCUUCGGGUUGUAAACUGCUUUUGUACGGAGCGAAAAGGUCCUUUCUAAUACAAGGGGCUCAUGACGGUACCGUAAGAAUAAGCACCGGCUAACUACGUGCCAGCCGCCGCGGUAACAC
rnacentral:rRNA from 1 species